AAGGAAUGCUAACACACUAGAGUUUCUCUCCUAGGUAUCACCUAGCUCUCCUGCUCUAUUUCUGUCUUCCCACCUUCCUCCCCUCUCCUUCUCUGGCCCCAUCCCUGCCCAGUCUCUGUAAAGUAAAUGAAGCAUUUGAAGUAUCUACUUUCAUACAAAGUAGCUUGUUAAUACCACUAGUUGAGAAUAAAGCCUCUACCACAAUUUUUUGAGCCAAAUUCGUAGCAAGCUUUAUUAAAUACCAGCCAGGAACAUGGACACUAGCCAGGUCCAUUCCCAGAGAAUGGCUGAGAAUUAUGUUAGUCAGGUGCUUAUGCAGGCAAACCCCACAAGGCUACGUACUUCCUGCCUCUGUCCAAUUGGGCCAAGCAUACAUUCUGAUGUACUUCCUGCGUUCACAUCUACCGCCUGUGUGUGAUCAAGCACAUCCUGUGUUGUUGAGACAACCAACCUUGUUUAUAGAGGUGAAAACAGGUGGCUUUGUUAUCUUAUAAGAGCAGCCUCCAGCAUUCCAGAAAGUCAUCUGUCCUUGGGCAAGUGGGGUUUGCAGGUUAAAGGCUCUUUUGUUUUAUGGAUUGCUGAAGCACAAUACGUUAAACCUGAAACGUAACUUUAGCUCUCACAUUUCCUUAUUCCAAGGGAGGUUGCAAAGCACAAUGAUGCUAUGCAGGGCACUCAUGAAAAUAUAUAUGGCCUAGGACCUGGAACACUAAGCUACCCUGCCCCAGUCCCCAGCUGCCUGGACUUCCUACCUAAGGAUACCUAGACCUAUUUAUUUUCUUUGAGGACAGGAUGCCUGUGAGCCAGUUAGCCCUAACAUGGCUGCCAGAGUAGGGAGAGACACCAUCACAAUUCAUUUACAUGUCAAAUGUCUUCCCCACCCCAGGACCACAAGGUUAACAACUGCCACCAGGCAACUGGGAAUAGCUCUGACAGGAGCAAAUAGCAAAGCAGGCACCGGUCACUGCCAGAAUACCUGGGAUUCUUUGUCCUUUCACAGAGGAGCCCUGAAUAUUCACCCUCCCAGGUUGGCCGGCUCCUCAGUACCCAGGACAUGCGAUGCUGCAGCACUGGGUGGUACCUAAAGAAGCUGAGAACACCUUGGAGGAAGAGAUGCUGAGGCUCUCUGUAAGCUGAAAGACACAUGCACCUGGCCGAACCCAUGUAUCCUAAGGUCCCCAGUGGACUGGCUCAGGACCUUUUUGAAUGAGAUGCCAGGAGCUUUAGGGGCAUAGGGCUUGGCUGGCUGUUUUAAGCCUGACAAUGGAAGUGGGAGGGCUUACAGGAAAACAUGCAUAUUAUAUAAAACAAUACAGGGGGAAUCUCAAAGUAACCCUGGCAAGAAAAAGCCAGGUUCUUUUAAAAUAAGUUUAUACUCUAUGAUUACAUUUAUAUAAAACUCUAGCAAGGGCAGGCUAAUCUAUACUGACAGAAAGCAGAUGCUGCUUGUAUGAGAGACAGAGGGAAGAUUAUAAAUAAUAUAUAAAUAUAUCUACCCUUGACUAUAGUGAUGGGCUAUGGGUGUUUACGUACAUAAACCUUAACUAACUAUAUAGUUCGGAUAUGAAAAGCAUCUUGUGGGUCAGCUAUAUACCCACGAGAAAGGGACUGAGAUUACAUUUGAUUUACAGAAAUUCUGAUUCUCGACGUUGAGGUGGAACAUGAGCAUCAUCACGAUCUUUACGUGUUACCCAAACGAUUAAGGAUGUAGGCUGAAAGUAUGGGACCUUCUGAGCCACAGCGAGGUGUGUGGGGAGACUGAAGGGCAUUGAACUCAUCGUUGCAGAGAUGCAAGCCAAACACCUCUCCUGCUAAAUAUGGUUCCUUUGGAGAACAUGGAAUCCAUAUAGAAAUAGUUCGCCUACUGAACCUAGUGUGGCACUGUGGUCAGUGGGUCUUUGACAUUCUGAGAAAAUCUAUCAAUGCCUGAACAUAGUCUAGUUAUUUGGUUUGGUUUGGUUGUUUUCAUGCUGCCAGGUAACAAAUUACUAUAGUGUCCGGCUGCUAAGCCAAUGAAGGAAGCUGCUAUGACCACCUUUGCAGGUUCAGAUUCCCAGAUGCCCACCCAGCCAUCCCAUGCCAUGUUCUCUUCAAUCAAUAGGCUUUCAGGAUAAGUCAAGCAAAACCUAAGAGAGUAUCAUGUUAAAUUCCCCUGAGGUACAAACACAAAAGAAUGCAAACUACUACCAAGGUCAAUUCUAUUUAUUAUUAGCAAGAAGAUAUGUUUACAUUGUUAGUUGGACAUAACUUUAAUCCCAGCACUCAAGAGGCAGAGACAGAUGGAUCUCUGUGAUCCUACAGGCCAGUCUGGUCUUCAUAGUGACUUUCAGGACACCUAGA
rnacentral:lncRNA from 1 species